UUUCUAGUCCUCUUAAAGUCAGGAUACCAUCAAGUAAGGGGAAAAAGCGGAGAUAUUCAUAAGACCGCAUUUCGUACUCACGAGGGUCAUUACGAAUACCUUGUAAUGCGCUUUGGGUUGAUGAAUGCUCCUUCAACCUUUCAAGCUUUUAUGAAUGAUAUCUUUAAAAGUCUCCUGAGAAAAUAUGUGUUGGUAUUUUUCAAUGAUAUCCUUGUCUAUAGCCCAUGUUGGGAAGAUCACAUUACUCACUUAGCUACUGUACUGAGUAUUUUGCAGCAACAAGAGCUGGUGGCAAACAGAAAGAAAUGCUCUUUUGCUAAAACUAAUGUUGAGUAUCUUGGGCAAAUCAUUUCCAGGGAAGGAGUGGCAAUGGAUCCGGCUAAGGUAGAGAGUGUCCUACAAUGG